GGAUGAACGCUGGCGGCGUGCCUAAUCCAUGCAAGUCGAGCGAACGGACGAGAAGCUUGCUUCUCUGAUGUUAGCGGCGGACGGUUGAGUAACACGUGGAUAACCUACCUAUAAGACUGGGAUAACUUCGGGAAACCGGAGCUAAUACCGGAUGAUAUUUUGAACCGCAUGGUUCAAAAGUGAAAGACGGUCUUGCUGUCACUUAUAGAUGGAUCCGCGCUGCAUUAGCUAGUUGGUAAGGUAACGGCUUACCAAGGCAACGAUGCAUAGCCGACCUGAGAGGGUGAUCGGCCACACUGGAACUGAGACACGGUCCAGACUCCUACGGGAGGCAGCAGUAGGGAAUCUUCCGCAAUGGGCGAAAGCCUGACGGAGCAACGCCGCGUGAGUGAUGAAGGUCUUCGGAUCGUAAAACUCUGUUAUUAGGGAAGAACAUAUGUGUAAGUAACUGUGCACAUCUUGACGGUACCUAAUCAGAAAGCCACGGCUAACUACGUG
rnacentral:rRNA from 1 species